UGUCUUUUUCACGCCUUAAAGCACUCGCUUGGUGUUCAGAAUCUAUGGAUGAAUUUUAUAGGAAAUUUGUCCCGCUUUAUUAGUGACAGGAAACCGACACCUUUCCCCCGGGGAUCUUAUCGAUAAUCUUUAGGGGGAGCUUGGACGUACAGUACAGUACGGACGGGGUCGGUUUAUUGGGUACAGUCAGCGCGUCAUUGGACUGCGCGAGACGACGUGUGCGCAUGCGCCAACACGGGUUCAUAGUGCAGCGAGCAGCGCGAAAGCGGUCUCAGUGGAAGCGUCGGCUGAUAUGGCGCUGUUGCCAGUGCUGGUGGUGAGGCGAGAAAUGACCCGUUUAAUGGCAACAUUACCACUCACACAGCUCAGUCAGGGGUGCCUUCUUGCAACAGACGGGAGCUGCUGCGGAAGGGAAGGUGACUAUCUUGUCACGGGCGUGUGGUUUUGGAACGGCCUGUGGGAUGGGACACAGGAAGGAGGACUGAGAACUGGAAGUAGUGCUGUGAUGUAGGAAUAAAGAAAUGAGCUCUGGGCCUAUGAGCCUCCGA
rnacentral:lncRNA from 1 species